AUGGUUGGCCUCCUGGGUGGUCUUGUUAACGAGUUCAUGUCCUUGGAUGACGAAGACAGCUCAUGUAUGUCCCAUGUGUUAGAGAACCAACUAAAGGGUUUAUCUUCUGCUGCUGGGAAGACUGUCGAGAAGACUGCAAGCACCCGUCCUGCAUCCCGCUCGCGUGAAGUAAAAGAUACCGGCAAGCAAGCUGUCGAAGUUUCAGAUUCUGAUCAUGAGGAUAGUGAUGGUGGCGGUGAUGGUCACUCUGACGAAGAUCUAGAUUUUCACGUUCAUUACCAUGGUUCUUCAGGUGGGCCGAACGCCCAUGAGGCUUCAGGUAGUGGGGGUAGUGCUGGACCGAAUGCCCAUGAUGCUUCAGGUAGUGGCGCAGCGAAUGCAGAUGUGGGUGCAACCAUGUUUGCAACUGCCAAUGUGUCGGUAAGGUCAGCCGGAAUUGAUGCAACUGCUACUACAGGAACCGAUCAGCCUCUCGAGUCUCAGAUUAUGCUUAAUGCACGUUCCGGGAAUGUAUCUAGUGAUGGAUUGCAUAACCAGCCAGAUAUGACGGAUACUCAAAACGAGGCUGUUGUUGAUGCUUCUGUGAAGAGGUGCAGUUCUUCUCUCGUCCGUAACUUGGAAAAGCAAUAUUUCAGGUGUCGCAAGAAAUUACGCCUACCUUCUCCGCCCAUGGCCACUGGUACAACUGUUUCUAACCAGCCGUUGUUGGAUGAUACACAUCGUUCUAUCAAGGCAAUAGUCAUCAAUGAGCUUGGCAUUGUAGGCCCUGAUAAGGGCACUAACUCAGUAAUUGCCAAUCCCACGCGGAAGAAGCAACAUCCUCGCAAGUGUUCGAAUGCUCCAUCUAUUAGUGUUGCCGACCUUCAGCAAACGCGGUCUAGCAGUGUGGGUGUCACGUCUGAGGCGAUACCUAUUAAUCCUGCGCGUUCUUCGGCAGAUGUUGACUCGUUUGAAACGUCACGCAGCAAGAAAACCAAGAUUACUGUGAGGAAGGUUAAGAAGUCUUCUACACUUGCAGUUGCAACUAGGUCUUCUCCUCGUUUUGCUCCCAAGGACGCGAAAGAUGAUUUUGAAGACUUCCCCGUGGUCAGUUCUCCAAAGUUGUUGUGCAAGAUAAUGCCCCUGUGA
rnacentral:rRNA from 1 species